GCCACUUUAGCUCAGUCGGUAGAGCAGCGCAUUCGUAACGCGCAGGUCGCGGGUUCGAGCCCCGUGAGUGGCU
rnacentral:tRNA from 1 species